rnacentral:rRNA from 1 species
GGCCUACGGGGCGCAGCAGUGGGGAAUAUUGCCCAAUGGGGGAAACCCUGAUGCAGCACCGCCGCGUGCGUGCUGCCGGCCUUCGGGUUGUAAAGCUCUGUCUUCAGGGACGCUAAUGACGGUACCUGAGGAGGAAGCCACGGCUAACUACGUGCCAGCAGCCGCGGUAAUACGUAGGUGGCGAGCGUUGUCCGGCUUUACUGGACGUAAAGGGAGCGUAGACGGACUUUUAAGUGAGAUGUGAAAUACUCGGGCUCAACUUUAGGGCUGCAUUUCAAACUGUAAGUCUAGAGUGCAGGAGAGGG